UACGUAGGCAGCAAGCGUUGUUCGGAGUUACUGGGCGUAAAGAGUGCGUAGGCGGUUUCGCAAGUUUGGUGUGAAAUCUCCCGGCUUAACUGGGAGGGUGCGCCGAAAACUGCGGGGCUGGAGUGUGGGAGAGGUAGGCGGAAUUCCUGGUGUAGCGGUGAAAUGCGUAGAUAUCAGGAGGAACACCGGUGGCGAAGGCGGCAUCCUGGACCGGUAUUGACGCUGAGGCGCGAAAGCCAGGGGAGCAAACGGG
rnacentral:rRNA from 1 species